rnacentral:tRNA from 1 species
CCCGGUGUGGUCUAGUUGUUAGGACUUGGCACUUUCACUGCUGUGGCCUAGGUUCAAUCCCUGGUCUGGGA